AACGAACGCUGGCGGCAUGCCUAACACAUGCAAGUCGAACGAAGGCUUCGGCCUUAGUGGCGCACGGGUGCGUAACGCGUGGGAAUCUGCCCUUUGGUUCGGAAUAACAGCUGGAAACGGCCGCUAAUACCGGAUGAUGACGAAAGUCCAAAGAUUUAUCGCCAGAGGAUGAGCCCGCGUUGGAUUAGGUAGUUGGUGGGGUAAAGGCCUACCGAGCCGACGAUCCAUAGCUGGUCUGAGAGGAUGAUCAGCCACACUGGGACUGAGACACGGCCCAGACUCCUACGGGAGGCAGCAGUGGGGAAUAGUGGACAAUGGGCGCAAGCCUGAUCCAGCAAUGCCGCGUGAGUGAUGAAGGCCCGAGGGUUGUAAAGCUCUUUUACCCGGGAAGAUAAUGACUGUACCGGGAGAAUAAGCCCCGGCUAACUCCG
rnacentral:rRNA from 1 species